rnacentral:rRNA from 1 species
GCCCAGCUUGCUGGGUGGAUUAGUGGCGAACGGGUGAGUAACACGUGAGUAACCUGCCCUUGACUCUGGGAUAAGCGUUGGAAACGACGUCUAAUACCGGAUACGAGCUUCCACCGCAUGGUGAGUUGCUGGAAAGAAUUUUGGUCAAGGAUGGACUCGCGGCCUAUCAGCUUGUUGGUGAGGUAACGGCUCACCAAGGCGACGACGGGUAGCCGGCCUGAGAGGGUGACCGGCCACACUGGGACUGAGACACGGCCCAGACUCCUACGGGAGGCAGCAGUGGGGAAUAUUGCACAAUGGGCGAAAGCCUGAUGCAGCAACGCCGCGUGAGGGACGACGGCCUUCGGGUUGUAAACCUCUUUUAGCAGGGAAGAAGCGAAAGUGACGGUACCUGCAGAAAAAGCACCGGCUAACUACGUGCCAGCAGCCGCGGUAAUACGUAGGGUGCAAGCGUUGUCCGGAAUUAUUGGGCGUAAAGAGCUCGUAGGCGGUUUGUCGCGUCUGCUGUGAAAUCCCGAGGCUCAACCUCGGGUCUGCAGUGGGUACGGGCAGACUAGAGUGCGGUAGGGGAGAUUGGAAUUCCUGGUGUAGCGGUGGAAUGCGCAGAUAUCAGGAGGAACACCGAUGGCGAAGGCAGAUCUCUGGGCCGCUACUGACGCUGAGGAGCGAAAGGGUGGGGAGCAAACAGGCUUAGAUACCCUGGUAGUCCACCCCGUAAACGUUGGGCGCUAGAUGUGGGGACCAUUCCACGGUUUCCGUGUCGUAGCUAACGCAUUAAGCGCCCCGCCUGGGGAGUACGGCCGCAAGGCUAAAACUCAAAGGAAUUGACGGGGGCCCGCACAAGCGGCGGAGCAUGCGGAUUAAUUCGAUGCAACGCGAAGAACCUUACCAAGGCUUGACAUAUACGAGAACGGGCCAGAAAUGGUCAACUCUUUGGACACUCGUAAACAGGUGGUGCAUGGUUGUCGUCAGCUCGUGUCGUGAGAUGUUGGGUUAAGUCCCGCAACGAGCGCAACCCUCGUUCUAUGUUGCCAGCACGUYAUGGUGGGAACUCAUGGGAUACUGCCGGGGUCAACUCGGAGGAAGGUGGGGACGACGUCAAAUCAUCAUGCCCCUUAUGUCUUGGGCUUCACGCAUGCUACAAUGGCCAGUACAAAGGGCUGCAAUACCGUAAGGUGGAGCGAAUCCCAAAAAGCUGGUCCCAGUUCGGAUUGAGGUCUGCAACUCGACCUCAUGAAGUCGGAGUCGCUAGUAAUCGCAGAUCAGCAACGCUGCGGUGAAUACGUUCCCGGGCCUUGUACACACCGCCCGUCAAGUC